rnacentral:lncRNA from 1 species
CUCCCCGCCCUUCGGAUCCUGGUUGGUCGUUAAGGUUCCCGUCCACCUAGCACCAACGCCCUUUUCCUAUUGGUCGGCGUGCCUCCACUUGACGAAUCAUAAGGAGCCACGAGACUCUCUCUCUGGUCAUGGACUAUGGCUGUAGUGCUUCUGAUUUAGAAGAACUUAAAUUCUCAGCUCCAGGGACCAAGGUGCCCCUUGGGAAUCAUGCUGUCAUCAGAGUUUGGGUAUAUGUUGCUAUGUGUGUAGCCCCUCGCCUCAUCUCUUCCGGAUUUCGUCCCUUCAGGCCUCUAAAGUCAAUAUCUUUGACCGCCCACCCCCACCAAUGGUACAGGCCAAAGGGUGGGCCGUGGGCGGGGCUGGAGCCCUCUGGGCGGGAGGGGGCGUAAAGACAAUACCAUAUUUGACCCAAAAAAACGGGGGGAAUCGGCGCUUCCAGAGCAAGGAGUUUCUUCCCAAAAACACUUGAUUUCCCAGGGUCCUCAUGACAACCGCUCUUGGUAAUUUCCUAAAGGAUUCACCGAUGAUCUAUGCGGAUGUGGCCACGUUCGGAGGUGCACUUGGGACGUCCAGAGCUGUCCGCUCCCCCCCCUCCAUCCCGGGCCGGAAGUUAAGGUUCUCCAGCUCGCACUUCCGGCUGGGAAGGGGCGGGGAGGCUGGUUACUAGGCGGCCAGCGUCUGCUUCUUCACCUGCAGUGUCUCUGCGCUCCUAGGUUUGAGUGUAUCCCGGGCCGGGCCCUUCCGCGGCCGUCACCGGGGAGCUACUUCCUUAUCUUCAUCCAGGGACCUAGGAUUGCCGCCACGUCGCCUAAGGGAUCCUCUUUUGUGCAGGGAGAGAACUAUACGAAACAGCAUGUGGAGCCUUGAAACGGUCCUGCGAUUAUCAGGAAUGAAGACCCAUCUGAUAGGAGGAGGAGAUGACCCUCCCCUGGUCUGCUGCAGGACUACAGGAAAAGAAAAAACGAGAGACGAGACGCGGAAGCAUAGCGUGAAUCGCCUUCACCACAGACUCAACAGACCUCUGUCUGUGCCACACCCUCCUGAAGCAUGUGACACACACCCCACCCAGCACCUUAUCCCAGAGAGGGGAGGGAAGAAGUGCUCCUCAUUGGGCUGCUGAGAGGGGCAGGGAGAAGGAGGCAGAAUAAGGAACAAUGGAAGGAAGCUGGCCCAAGAGGCACAGGCUUUCCUGAGGAUCCUUGGAUUCUGGUGUGCAGGUGGAGCCUGGAUGGAUGCUGGCAUCGGCAAACUCCCGAGCUUCCAUCAAGGCUACUUCUGGAGCUCGGUAGCUGGCUGGCCCUUUCUCCCUCGUGAAGUUAUUUUGUGUGGCUUUAUUUACCCCUUGUAUUCCCUCACCUGUAUAUAAAUGGUAGUACAGUCCAGUUCAACGGAAGUAAAAACACAGAAGAAAAACGUAUGACUUAUCAUUUGUUUAUACGGGUAUAUGAUUGGGGGUUUGGGUUUAAAAGAUGGCUCUAUAGCAAAAAUGAAUAAUAUGGAAAUAGGUAUCAAGGGAUAACGCUUGUAUAACCCAGUGGGAUUGCUUAUUGGCUCUGGGGGUGGGGGGAAGAAAAUGAACCAUGGAAACAUGGAAAAAUAUUUUAAAAUUUAAAUUUUAAAAUCAAUCAAUUAAUUAAUUAAUUAAUGGAAACUCCCAGAGAGCAGUGAGUAAAUGGGGCUUUUUGUCUUUGUUUUCCUAUUUUCUAGCCUUUAAUCAUGGCUAAAGCAUUGACCUCCGAAUCCCUGAAUCCCAACUCUGAAGACAGGCUAAAAAGGCCAUCUAAGACUCUUAAUAGUCCUGUGACCCUGGGCAAGCUUUUGCUGACUGGGCCUCAGUUUCUUGAGGACAUUGGACAAUUGGCAGUUGAAUUUAAGGUGCUUACACUGGGAGCAAGGAUUGAUUUCCUUUGAUCUAUCUUUAUAGCACUUAGCACAAUUGCCUACAGAAGUACUAUUAGAAAGACCUUCCAGGGGCAGCUGGGUGGCUCAGUGGAUUGAGAGCCAGGCCUAGAGACAGGAAGUCCUGAGUUCAAAUGUGGCCUCAGAUACUUCCUAACUCUGUGACCCUGGGCAAGUCACUUAACCCCAAUGCCUAUGUCUCACCACACUUCUGCCUUACAUAGUAUUUCUUCUGAG